rnacentral:rRNA from 1 species
AAAGUUCCCUUCGGGGAGCGAGUAGAGUGGCGCACGGGUGAGUAACACGUAGGUAAUCUACCUUCGGAUUGGGAAUAACAACCGGAAACGGUUGCUAAUACCGAAUAAUGCAGCGGCACCUAAUGGUGACAGUUGUUAAAGCGGGGGAUCGCAAGACCUCGCGUCUGAAGAGGAGCCUGCGGCGGAUUAGCUAGUUGGUAAGGUAAUGGCUUACCAAGGCGAUGAUCCGUAGCCGGCCUGAGAGGGCGGUCGGCCACACUGACACUGACAUACGGGUCAGACUCCUACGGGAGGCAGCAGUCGGGAAUUUUGGGCAAUGGGCGAAAGCCUGACCCAGCAACGCCGCGUGAAGGAUGAAAUCCUUCGGGAUGUAAACUUCGCAAGAACGGGAAGAAUAAGUAAGAGCUAACAUCUCUUACGAUGACGGUACUGUUUGUAAGCUCCGGCUAACUCCGUGCCAGCAGCCGCGGUAAUACGGGGGGAGCAAGCGUUGUUCGGAUUUACUGGGCGUAAAGGGCGCGUAGGCGGCCACCGCAAGUCAGUUGUGAAAGCUCUGGGCUUAACCCAGAAAGGUCAACUGAUACUGCGGGGCUAGAGUGCAGAAGGGGCAACUGGAAUUCUCGGUGUAGCGGUGAAAUGCGUAGAUAUCGAGAGGAACACCUGCGGCGAAGGCGGGUUGCUGGGCUGACACUGACGCUGAAGUGCGAAAGCUAGGGGAGCGAACGGGAUUAGAUACCCCGGUAGUCCUAGCCUUAAACGAUGAAUGCUUGGUGUCUGGGGUUUUAUAGU